UUUCUUCUGUUUCUCUUUAGCAAGAGUCUUUACAUUGAUUCUUGUCGGGUCGAAACUAAACGUCGAGUCCUCGCGAUGGUCGGUUAAAUCUUUCCUUCGUUCCUAAUAAUUGGAAGAAGAGCGUUAAACGCUUCCUCCUCGUAGCUAAGCGCAACUACGGCGAGCAUGAGGUUGAUCAAGUAAAACGAGCCAAAAAACACGACCACCGUGAAGAACGAGACGCUGAUAGGUCCGCACGCCGACAAUACCUGCGAAUCAAUUACAUUGUACCUUGUAAUUAUUCGUGGGUUCGAAACGGUUUGACAAAGGAAGUUCAGCGAACCUUGCACCGGUUGCGUUACCACAGAUUAUUGGCUCCUCGUCUUCGUCGAAUGCCCAGUUGGAUGAAUUCCAAGUCCACCUGUGGAUGACAGAAGACGUCGGUUAAUGCCUCUUGAGGCUCAACGAGGUGUCAUUCUUCGCCUCGCCGCUCACAAGCCGUGCAAAAAAUUUCGCCCAUGUAAACUUGCAAGGCGAAAAGCGCGAAAACCAUAAGACAAAAGAUCGUGAGCGUCAUCACUUCGGCAAGCUGCUUAAAACUAUGUAACAAUGCGUUGAUGAUGGUCUUCAAGCCUGCGAAGAAUCAAAUCAGACAAAUUUGGAUCUAUAAAUCUAGGAAAACUUGACACCCUUGAAUUUCGAAGCAUCGAUAAAUCAUAAAUAAAAAAACAAAAAGAAAAAGAAAACUUGAGAUCGCCAGAUUUCAGUGCUUCAAAUCGUCAUAUUUUAACAGUAUAACAUUAUAGAUCUGAGAAAACUUGAGAUCCUUGGAUCUCGAAGCCUUAAAUAUUGAUAUUUUAAUUAUAUUUUACGAUUAUAAAUCUAAAGUUUAAAGAGGUCAACGGUAUAAUUAAAAAUUAUAAUUAAUAAUUAUAACAUUAUAGAUCUAAGAAAACUUGACACCCUUGGAUUUCGAAGCAUCAAUAAAUCAUAAAUAAAAAAACAAAAAAAAAACUUGAGAUCGCUAGAUUUCAGUGCUUCAAAUCGUCAUAUUUUAACAGUAUAACAUUACAGAUCUAAGAAAACUUGAGAUCCUUGGAUCUCGAAGCCUUAAAUAUUGAUAUUUUAAUUAUAUUUUACGAUUAUAAAUCUAAAGUUUAAAGAGGUCAACAGUAUAAUUAAAAAUUAUAAUUAAUAAUUAUAACAUUACAGAUCUAAGAAAACUUGAGAUCCUUGGAUCUCGAAGCCUUAAAUAUUGAUAUUUUAAUUAUAUUUUACGAUUAUAAAUCUAAAGUUCAAAGAGGUGAACAGUAUAAUUAAAAAUUAUAAUUGACAAAUCUGUAAAAUUUAAAGAGGUCAAGUCUCUAUAUAUUUACAAUUGUACGAAAUAAUUAAACUAUCGAUAUUUAAGGGUUCGAAGUCUAAGGAUCUCGAGUUUUCUUAGAUUUAUAAUGUCACACUGUUUGUCUAAGUUGUUACCACAACCCAACAGUAUAAUCGAUCGCGUAAAAUAUUAUAAUUCUCGCGCUCCUAUUGUA